GCUGAUCCCACUGGUAAUGCAGGGGCAGGGUGUUUCUUCAAGCUGCACUUGCAGCUUUUCUUCCCUGUCUCCCCCAAUCUGUUGGAAAUAAAUAAAGAUAUUAUUAUUAUUAUUAUUAUUAUUAUUAUUAUUAUUAUUAUUA
rnacentral:lncRNA from 1 species